GCUAUGUGCCGCCUUUGGAGGGACUGCCUAUCUUCAUUCUUCGACUGGCCACUGAGGUGAACUGGGAUGAAGAAAAGGAGUGUUUCGAAAGUCUCAGUAAAGAAUGUGCUGUGUUUUACUCCAUUCGGAAGCAAUACAUACUGGAGGAGUCAGCCCUCUCAGGCCAGCAGGUACUGUGGCAAUUAUGUACAUUGGCUUCCAGAACUGGGACAGGUCUCAUGUACUUUAGGAUGUGGGGCUUAAAUCACGGCUAAAACCUAUCAGUUCAGUUUAUAUUUACAAAGUUCAAACAGCAGCCCUCAAC
rnacentral:lncRNA from 1 species